CUACGGGUCGCUGCAGGCGAGAAAACUUUGCAAUGUGCGAAAGCACGACAAGGUUAAUCCGAGUGGUUUCUGCUAAAGGAACCUUUUGUCAGUCCUAGAAACACUGAUGAAUAAGGGGUGGGCAAGUUCUGGUGUCAGCCGCCGCGGUAAAACCAGCACCUCAAGUGGUCAGGAUGAUUAUUGGGCCUAAAGCAUCCGUAGCCGGCUCUGUAAGUUUUCGGUUAAAUCUGUACGCUCAACGUACAGGCUGCCGGGAAUACUGUAGAGCUAGGGAGUGGGAGAGGUAGACGGUACUCGGUAGGAAGGGGUAAAAUCCUUUGAUCUAUUGAUGACCACCUGUGGCGAAGGCGGCCUACCAGAACACGUCCGACGGUGAGGGAUGAAAGCUGGGGGAGCAAACCGGAUUAGAUACCCCCGUAGUC
rnacentral:rRNA from 1 species